UCUGUGGCUCGGAUAAUCGUAAGAUUAUGCCGUCAACUGCCUGGAAAUAUGUACUAUCCUGGUUCCUUGGAUCCUGAACAGUUGGCAAAAAUGAAGGCUAUACGAGUAUGUUUCACUUCCACAUGGUGGGACCAUGGGUAUCCAUUUGCUGCCUUAUCUUGAAUCGUAUCAGGGACACUGUGCGGAGGGGGUCUAAAAUUGUGUUUAUGGUGAUGUGGAUUCUGCGAUAUUGAGUUGGAGGGCUGCGUAACAGCGUUAGCGGAUUGGGGGUGUUGGGGAGGGCGUUCCCAAGGAUUGUGCGUGUUGCGGCGGUGCUUCUCAGAGGUUGUCGGCGUUGGGUUGGGCGUUGGGGCGGGCGUGGCAGCUGCAACUCUCUAAUUUCAUUUACACACUUUUCAACGCUCCUUUGCUCCAAUUGAGCUGCAUCUAAGUGUUUGCCUAGGUGUGCCCCACUCAAGCCCUCGACUCACUGACUCGACUCGCCCACUCACUCAAACACAAAGCCACCGUUGCUGCCACAAAGUGGAGGGAAAUGGAAGGUGGUUCUGGCUGCUAGCUGCUGCUGGUUGCUGGUUGCUGGGUGGUGG